GGGCGAAUGGUUUAGUGGUAUAAUACUCCCUUAGCAUGGUGCGACCCGAAGAUGCCUAAUCUUCAGGGGUUAACAGCGCGAUGACUGGGAGUGGUCCAGGGUUCGAUUCCCUGUUCGUCCA